UACGGGGGGGGCAAGCGUUGUUCGGAAUUACUGGGCGUAAAGGGCUCGUAGGCGGCCAACUAAGUCAGACGUGAAAUCCCUCGGCUUAACCGGGGAACUGCAUCUGAUACUGGAUGGCUUGAGUUCGGGAGAGGGAUGUGGAAUUCCAGGUGUAGCGGUGAAAUGCGUAGAUAUCUGGAGGAACACCGGUGGCGAAGGCGGCAUCCUGGACCGGUAUUGACGCUGAGGCGCGAAAGCUAGGGGAGCAAACGGG
rnacentral:rRNA from 1 species